UACACACGUGCUACAAUGGUUGGUACAACGAGUUGCGAGUCGGUGACGGCGAGCUAAUCUCUUAAAGCCAAUCUCAGUUCGGAUUGUAGGCUGCAACUCGCCUACAUGAAGUCGGAAUCGCUAGUAAUCGCGGAUCAGCACGCCGCGGUGAAUACGUUCCCGGGCCUU
rnacentral:rRNA from 1 species